rnacentral:rRNA from 1 species
GAGUAACGCGUGAGAAUCUAGCUUCAGGUCGGGGACAACCACUGGAAACGGUGGCUAAUACCGGAUGUGCCGAAAGGUGAAAGAUUUAUUGCCUGAAGAUGAGCUCGCGUCUGAUUAGCUAGUUGGUGUGGUAAGAGCGCACCAAGGCGACGAUCAGUAGCUGGUCUGAGAGGAUGAUCANCCACACUGGGANUGAGACACGGCCCAGACUCCUACGGGAGGCAGCAGUGGGGAAUUUUCCGCAAUGGGCGAAAGCCUGACGGAGCAAUACCGCGUGAGGGAGGAAGGCUCUUGGGUUGUAAACCUCUUUUCUCAGGGAAUAAAAAAAUGAAGGUACCUGAGGAAUAAGCAUCGGCUAACUCCGUGCCAGCAGCCGCGGUAAUACGGAGGAUGCAAGCGUUAUCCGGAAUGAUUGGGCGUAAAGCGUCCGCAGGUGGCACUGUAAGUCUGCUGUUAAAGAGCAAGGCUCAACCUUGUAAAGGCAGUGGAAACUACAGA